UUUCCAAGUGUCUAUUUCCUAAGCUAUGG
rnacentral:piRNA from 1 species